AUUGAACGCUGGCGGAAUGCCUAACACAUGCAAGUCGAGCGGAGUAGCAAUACUCAGCGGCGGACGGGUGAGGAAUACAUAGGAACUUGCCCUUAGGUGGGGGAUAGCUUGGGGAAACUCAAGGUAAUACCGCAUGAUCUCGCAAGAGCAAAGGGGCGCAAGUCUCGCCUUUAGAGAGGCCUAUGUCUGAUUAGCUAGUUGGCGGUGUAAUAGACCACCAAGGCGACGAUCAGUAACUGGUCUGAGAGGACGAUCAGUAACACCGGAACUGAGACACGGUCCGGACUCCUACGGGAGGCAGCAGUGGGGAAUAUUGGACAAUGGGCGAAAGCCUGAUCCAGCAAUUCCGCGUGUGUGAAGAAGGCCUUCGGGUUGUAAAGCACUUUAGUGAGGGAAGAAACAGCUUGGCCACACCAAGCCUUGACGGUACCUCAAGAAUAAGCACCGGCUAACUCCGUGCCAGCCGCCGCCGUAA
rnacentral:rRNA from 1 species